CCUACGGGAGGCAGCAGUAGGGAAUAUUGGGCAAUGGAGGCAACUCUGACCCAGCCAUGCCGCGUGCAGGAUGAAGGCGUUAUGCGUUGUAAACUGCUUUUAUAUAGGAAGAAAAAGACCUUGCGAGGUAGAUUGACGGUACUAUAUGAAUAAGCACCGGCUAACUCCGUGCCAGCAGCCGCGGUAAUACGGAGGGUGCAAGCGUUGUCCGGAUUUAUUGGGUUUAAAGGGUGCGUAGGCGGUUUAUUAAGUCAGUGGUGAAAGACGGUCGCUCAACGAUUGCAGUGCCAUUGAUACUGGUAGACUUGAGUGUGAUUGAGGUAGCUGGAAUGGAUAGUGUAGCGGUGAAAUGCAUAGAUAUUAUCCAGAACACCAAUUGCGUAGGCAAGUUACUAAGUCACAACUGACGCUGAGGCACGAAAGUGUGGGUAUCAAACAGGAUUAGAUACCCUGGUAGUCCACACUGUAAACGAUGAUAACUAACUGUUGGCUUUUGGGUCAGUGGUACAGAGAAAUCGUUAAGUUAUCCACCUGGGGAGUACGCCGGCAACGGUGAAACUCAAAGGAAUUGACGG
rnacentral:rRNA from 1 species